UAGGGAAUAUUGGUCAAUGGGUGGAAGCCUGAACCAGCCAUGCCGCGUGCAGGAAGACGGCCUUCUGGGUUGUAAACUGCUUUUAUCUGGGGAUAAAAUACCCUUGCGAGGGAGACUGAAGGUACCAGAUGAAUAAGCCACGGCUAACUACGUGCCAGCAGCCGCGGUAAUACGUAGGUGGCAAGCGUUGUCCGGAUUCAUUGGGUUUAAAGGGUGCGUAGGCGGCCAUUUAAGUCAGUGCUGAAAUAUC
rnacentral:rRNA from 1 species